rnacentral:rRNA from 1 species
GUCCACGCAGUAAACGAUGAAUACUAGCUGUAUGCGAUAUACUGUAUGUGGCAAAGCGAAAGCGUUAAGUAUUCCACCUGGGGAGUACGUUCGCAAGAAUGAAACUCAAAGGAAUUGACGGGGGCCCGCACAAGCGGAGGAACAUGUGGUUUAAUUCGAUGAUACGCGAGGAACCUUACCCGGGCUUGAAAUGCAUCUGACCGAUCUGGAAACAGGUCUUCUAGCAAUAGCAGAUGUGUAGGUGCUGCAUGGUUGUCGU